rnacentral:rRNA from 1 species
UACGAAGGGUGCAAGCGUUACUCGGAAUUACUGGGCGUAAAGCGUGCGUAGGUGGUUUGUUAAGUCUGUUGUGAAAGCCCCGGGCUCAACCUGGGAAUGGCAAUGGAUACUGGCAAGCUAGAGUGCGGUAGAGGGUAGUGGAAUUCCCGGUGUAGCGGUGAAAUGCGUAGAGAUCGGGAGGAACACCAGUGGCGAAGGCGGCUACCUGGACCAGCACUGACACUGGAGGCACGAAAGCGUGGGGAGCAAACAGG